rnacentral:tRNA from 1 species
AAAUAAGAAGUAAAAUUUUACAUUUAGUUUCGACCUAAAAUUUUGGUAAUUUAAUUACCCUUAUUUA